AAUUUCAGCUGAAAAAGUCAUGAACAUAAAAGUUGUAGAACUCAUUGAGACAUACAACUUUUAUUUUGGUCAUUUCUUCAUCCGACAAAAUAAUAGUAACAUUGUUUACAAAAUUUAAAUAUCUCUCUUAUAGUUUAUAAAACCAUAUGUAAAUUUUGUGAACAAUGCUACUAUGACUUUGUCGGGCGAAGAAAUAAGCAAAAUAAAAGUUAUAGAUCUUGAUGAGUUAUAUAACUUUGUUGUUGAUGAUUUUUUCAGUUGAAAUC
rnacentral:pre_miRNA from 1 species